GUUAUUCCUUUACAUAUAUAUAUGUCUGAUCAUGUAAAUAGAGGUAUAAAUUAGCAACUCUAGAUAAAACUCUUUCCUUUCCCCUUUCCUGCAGCAUGGUUUUUAAAAAAAAAAGAGAAAAAAAAGUGCCCUGGAAUCCGCAGGCUCCUCCUUUCUCCUUUCCUUCAGCAUGGUUUAUAAAAAAAUAGAUAUAUAUUAGAUGUGCUGGUUAAGUGCAACGGUUUGAGGAGGGGCCUUUUCCAAUUUCAGAUUUGGGGUCCCAAAGAAGUCCAGACAAAAGUAAACAGGGGGGGAAGAACUAUAGUUCGAUCCUGUGUAGUUUAUAGCAAUGUUUUGUCAGUUGUGGGUUACUUUGCUUUCACCUGAAUGUGAUAAGAAUUUGACUCUUCUAUUCCCCGAGACUUUGUCUUCCCCGUUUUCCUCCCGUGCGAUGAUGACCUUCCCAAUAUCAGAUAGUCGCGAUAAUUGAGAAAGGCCUGCGCUUUCUUGAUUGGUAAUGAGAGCACUUUGGAUGGCUUAGUUCUUAAGCAACCAGUUGUUCUCAUUUGUGCUAAGAAUGGUUUCGGCGUGCGCAUGGUUUCUAGCUCGGUCGGCACUAUUAAUCAGGAAGGCUUUACUGCCAAUCUGAUAAUGCUUGAUAACUAGGGGUGUCUGAGCAAAAAUUAUUUAUUUAUUUCCAUACAUACCCAUGUUUGCUGCUCCUCUUUACUCUUCUCUUCUUUGUAAAUAUUGGUUUCAUGUUUUUUUAAACUAUUGGGAUUUCCCCAAACUGCAUCUUUGGCUUUGAUUUGUCAAAUCUCUUUGUUUUCGACUUGCUUUUACCUGCAUUCGAUUUCUUUUUCCCUUUUUGUUUUAGCAACCUUUCAAGACUUGGUUAUUUUACAUCAUUGUUUUGAGGUGUUCUAUAGAAAAAACUCUAUUCUUUUGCUUUUCCUUCGCCCUGAUUUUAGAAGCAAAAAAAUUAUAUGCCGUGGAAUCCGCAAGUCCCUGUUUUCGAUUUCUGCAGGUUCCCUAUGCCUUCUUGCUGGCUGUCGGCUCUUUGUUUUUCUUCAUAGUCCUUACCUUGAAUGUUACAUGAUUGCAACAAUUGAGCUUCCACCUGUUUUUAUCCCAAACUACAAUGCACCUUUCCUUGAAUGUGAAAUGAUUGCGAUAAUUGAGAGGGGCCCGACCUUCUUGGCGACUAUGAAGUCAUCACUUGCACCCAUAAUGAAAAGAACUACAGAGCUCCUUGGUAUCGAAGGUACAGGUAAUGAUGCAUUAAGUUUGUUCAGUUUAAACAAUGGAAGCUUUGAACUUUCUUUCAUUAGCUCUUGGUACCUAUAAUAACAUAGAAGCAAAACCGAGCAUAAACCAUGUAUCAAGUUGCUUUUGUACUUCGAAAUAUAUGGCUCAACCUAUUAGAACCAAUGAAUUGUGUAUUCAUUCUUUCUGUUGAGGAUGAUCAACACUUUGUUUCAAGUACUUUGAAAUUGUAUUCUAACUACCAAGACAGUUUAUAGCAAUACUCAAUCAAAUGGAUUCAAAUUGCGCAUCUUUGGCUUUGAAAUUGUAUUCUAACUACCAAGAAAGUUUAUAGCAAUACUCAAUCAAAUGCAUAGUCUAUAGAGCUCAAAGUCAAAUGACUAUGGAAUUUAAAGAAGAUUUGUAUUGUAACAGAGUUAGGGACAUAGAAUGUCGGAAGGCAAUUGAAAAUUUGCCAACAGUUCUCUUUUUUUACAUUCUUUACUUGCACGAGGUGUGACAUUGGGUCACUUCAUGUUUAGUUAGUAGCCAAAUAUGAUCCUCUGAUAUUUUAUUUCUGAUUGGUUAUUGAAUAAUUUGUGAGAAAACAGUUUUAAAGAUGUUUCUUUGUACUGAAAUUUGGUAUUCGUAUCUUUGUUUGGGAUUAAAUGUAGUAGCUUUGGAUAGACUCAGUUUUACAGAUAAUUGGUUGUACUCAAAUAUGCUAUUCCUGUCUUUGUUUGGGAUUAAAUGUGGUAGCUUUGGAUGGACUUGACUGCUUCGAUACAUUGUUGUUUUACUAAUUCUACUUGGUUUCCUUCAUUCCUUUUUGUUUCUUGCUAUUUUGUAUCUCUUCUUUGAGGCAGUGAUGAUAAGUAGAGGAAAACGUGGAAAAUGAUGGCUUUGAACAAGCAGAAGUUUGGACGGCCUAUUCAUAGGCAACCGCUUCCUAUUGUUCUUAUCCUUCGUCGUUCCACACACGUUCCUCCUAUGUGCAUUACACUCGGACACUUAUUGACGGGACCAAGUUCAACUCAACCCGUAAUCAUGGGACGCCGUCAAAGUUUAAGCUUGGUCAAGGUGAGUUUUGAUAGUGCAACUAUUGAUUAGGAAUGAAAUUCAUAAUGCAACUUAUGAUAAUGUAAAUCUGAUCAAGUUAUUUCAAUUUGUACAUCAUCAAUAAACUGACAUAUUCAUAAUGAUUUGUUCUGUGGCAUUGUUUUUAAUUGAUUAAGCUGAUUUGUUCCUCCAAGGGAGUAUGUUAGACAAGUUCAAUUUGUUCCGAUCAAGCUAAACAGGCUCAGAUUGAGAUAGGUAUCUGUAUGAUGACGAUGCGAAAUUAUAUUUUUGAUAUUAAUGGUUUAUCCUCUAUUGGUGCAUAGUUUAACCAUGUAUAGGAGAAUUGAUUUCUUGCACUAUAAAAACACAUUGGGGAGAUUAUUCUUAUGUCAAAGAGACUAUUUACUUGACUAAUGUGAUAUUUUCAUAUAGGCAUUUACAUGUUCCCCAGUGUUCAUGUCACAUAUUUUACUUAACAAUUUACUUGACUAAUGUGAUAUUUUCAUAUAGGCAUUUACUUAUUUUCAUAUAGUUUUGUGUGCAAGUACGUUUCAGCUUUCGAUAAUUGAUAGAGACCCAACCCUUCUUGAUUGGUUUAUAUAAAUGUUUUGUCGUUUCUCGGGCACUUUCCCUUCGACUAUUUUUGUCCAUGCUAUGAUGACUCCCUCUUGAAUUGUUAUUUCUCGAGUUGUUGACUGCGCCUAUUUUUUGUCCAUGCUAUGCUGACUAUCUCUUGAAUGCCCUGAGAAUUUAGAUUAUGUUUGGUGCCUUUUCAUGGUCUGCAUUGCUUCGCGAUUCAUUGUUAUUUUGCUAAUAUUACUUGCUUACUUUGACUGCAUCUAAUUUUUUUCCCGUACUAUGAUGACUAUCUCUUGAAUGCCAUCAGAAUAUAGAUUAUGUGUGGCGCCUUCUCAUGGAACUCAAGUCAAACCAAAUCAUACUGAACUCUAAAACAUAUAUUUAUAGUUAUAGUUCAAUGAAAGCAGAUUAGACUUUGAUGCAUCUAUUCAGAGCUCAAUGUAAAUCAAAUUCAACUAUGUACUAACACAUAUAUUUAUUACUUAGCCAUCUUUCACCUUAGAGUGAACUCAAAUCUAAUUGGACUCUAAUACACAUAGUUAGAUUUCAGUUAAUUUCAAUUAAACCCGCUUAGACUCUGGUACAUAUAAUUAAAGUUUAAUAUAAAUCAAAUCCAACUUAGUCCUAGCACACGUACUGAAGGUUUAACUAUCUUUCACCUUUGGGUGAACUCAAUCUGAUUGGUCUCUAACCCGCUCGGAAGUAGAUUCUUUCUUUGAUUGAUAAUGUCGAGGCAGAGGUCCAGGCUAUACCUUGGAAGCCAGGAGUGGGAGCGAAUUCGAUUGACUUCGACUGAAAUUUGCUUUUUUUAGUUCUUCCCCGAUGAGCUCUUCCCAGGGCAAAGUCCUAAUCAAAGCAGGCAAAGGGGGGAGUGGACCAUAGGAAGGCAUCCUGAAGUGCUACUUCCCACAUAUACAGUAUUUAUGGUCUAAAAAUGUCACAUGAAUUAUGGGGACAACCAAGGGCAGACAAGAGAUCUGCGCACACGACAGCCAAAAGGGAGUCCGCUUCGAUCCAGAGCCUCGAAAAUCCUAGGUUGAUGGCCAAUUCCUCUUUCGGAUAGCACCGAGUUCGAUAUGUAGGAUAUCUUCUUUCCCGCAAUGGAAGGAUUUGCUUUUGAUCCAGGAGCCAUUGGCAUCUCUGAUGACGAUACCC